AUUGAACGCUGGCGGCAUGCCUUACACAUGCAAGUCGAACGGUAACAGGUCUUCGGAUGCUGACGAGUGGCGAACGGGUGAGUAAUACAUCGGAACGUGCCCGAUCGUGGGGGAUAACGAGGCGAAAGCUUUGCUAAUACCGCAUAAGAUCUACGGAUGAAAGCAGGGGACCGCAAGGCCUUGCGCGUACGGAGCGGCCGAUGGCAGAUUAGGGAGUUGGUGGGAUAAAAGCUUACCAAGCCGACGAUUUGUAGCUGGUCUGAGAGGACGACCAGCCACACUGGGACUGAGACACGGCCCAGACUCCUACGGGAGGCAGCAGUGGGGAAUUUUGGACAAUGGGCGAAAGCCUGAUCCAGCCAUGCCGCGUGCAGGAUGAAGGCCUUCGGGUUGUAAACUGCUUUUGUACGGAACGAAAAGACUCUUUCUAAUAAAGAGGGUCCGUGACGGUACCGUAAGAAUAAGCACCGGCUAACUACGUGCCAGCCGCCGCGGUAACAC
rnacentral:rRNA from 1 species